rnacentral:rRNA from 1 species
GAGUUUGAUCAUGGCUCAGAUUGAACGCUGGCGGCAGGCCUAACGCAUGCAAGUCGAACGGUAACAGGAAACAGCUUGCUGUUUCGCUGACGAGUGGCGGACGGGUGAGUAAUGUCUGGGAAACUGCCUGAUGGAGGGGGAUAACUACUGGAAACGGUAGCUAAUACCGCAUAACGUCGCAAGACCAAAGAGGGGGACCUUCGGGCCUCUUGCCAUCAGAUGUGCCCAGAUGGGAUUAGCUAGUAGGUGGGGUAACGGCUCACCUAGGCGACGAUCCCUAGCUGGUCUGAGAGGAUGACCAGCCACACUGGAACUGAGACACGGUCCAGACUCCUACGGGAGGCAGCAGUGGGGAAUAUUGCACAAUGGGCGCAAGCCUGAUGCAGCCAUGCCGCGUGUAUGAAGAAGGCCUUCGGGUUGUAAAGUACUUUCAGCGGGGAGGAAGGGAGUAAAGUUAAUACCUUUGCUCAUUGACGUUACCCGCAGAAGAAGCACCGGCUAACUCCGUGCCAGCAGCCGCGGUAAUACGGAGGGUGCAAGCGUUAAUCGGAAUUACUGGGCGUAAAGCGCACGCAGGCGGUUUGUUAAGUCAGAUGUGAAAUCCCCGGGCUCAACCUGGGAACUGCAUCUGAUACUGGCAAGCUUGAGUCUCGUAGAGGGGGGUAGAAUUCCAGGUGUAGCGGUGAAAUGCGUAGAGAUCUGGAGGAAUACCGGUGGCGAAGGCGGCCCCCUGGACGAAGACUGACGCUCAGGUGCGAAAGCGUGGGGAGCAAACAGGAUUAGAUACCCUGGUAGUCCACGCCGUAAACGAUGUCGACUUGGAGGUUGUGCCCUUGAGGCGUGGCUUCCGGAGCUAACGCGUUAAGUCGACCGCCUGGGGAGUACGGCCGCAAGGUAAAAACUCAAAUGAAUUGACGGGGGCCCGCACAAGCGGUGGAGCAUGUGGUUUAAUUCGAUGCAACGCGAAGAACCUUACCUGGUCUUGACAUCCACGGAAGUUUUCAGAGAUGAGAAUGUGCCUUCGGGAACCGUGAGACAGGUGCUGCAUGGCUGUCGUCAGCUCGUGUUGUGAAAUGUUGGGCUAAGUCCCGCAACGAGCGCAACCCUUAUCCUUUGUUGCCAGCGGUCCGGCCGGGAACUCAAAGGAGACUGCCAGUGAUAAACUGGAGGAAGGUGGGGAUGACGUCAAGUCAUCAUGGCCCUUACGACCAGGGCUACACACGUGCUACAAUGGCGCAUACAAAGAGAAGCGACCUCGCGAGAGCAAGCGGACCUCAUAAAGUGCGUCGUAGUCCGGAUUGGAGUCUGCAACUCGACUCCAUGAAGUCGGAAUCGCUAGUAAUCGUGGAUCAGAAUGCCACGGUGAAUACGUUCCCGGGCCUUGUACACACCGCCCGUCACACCAUGGGAGUGGGUUGCAAAAGAAGUAGGUAGCUUAACCUUCGGGAGGGCGCUUACCACUUUGUGAUUCAUGACUGGGGUGAAGUCGUAACAAGGUAACCGUAGAGGAACCUGCGGUUG